rnacentral:RNase_P_RNA from 1 species
AGAGCAGAUCACCUUAUCGCUCUUUAUAUUAUUAAAGAGAGGAAAGUCCGGACACCGUAGCACAGUAUAGCGGGUAACGCCCGUCCGUCGAAAGACGAGGACAAGUGCAACAGAAAGAAUGUACAGGUAAUGCUGUAGUGAAAUCAGGUAAACUCUAUGCGGUGCAACGCCAUGUAAACCAGCAUUUGAAGGUUGUGCGCCUAACGUUGGAGGGUAGGCGGUUUGAUCUUGAUAGUAAUGUCAAGACUAGAUAAAUGAUAAGGGCUUUAUUAAUAAAGUUACAGAAUCCGGCUUAUGAUCUGCUUUUUCU